GAUGGCACGCGGGGGUACUGCUUGCCUACGGAUACUCUGCAUCUAGGCAUUCGGUUGAGAUAAACCCUUCGUACCAGUACGGAUAAUGCCGAUGCUGGGAGCGUGUCACAGCCUAGC
rnacentral:ncRNA from 1 species